UUUUUGAGACAGCCUCACUCUGUCACCCAGGCUGGAGUGCAGUGGCAUGAUCUGAGCUCACUGCAACUUCCACCUCCCAGGUUUAAGUGAUUCUUGUGCCUCAGCUUCCCAACACAGCUGGGAUUACAGGCGUGCACCACCACGCCCAGCUAAUUUUUGUAAGUUUAGUAGAGAUGGGGUUUCACCAUGUUGGCCAGGCUGGUCUUGAACUCCUGGCCUCAAGCAAUCUGUCCGCCUCAGCCUCCCAAAGUGCUGGGAUUGCAGGCAUGAGCCACCACGCCCAGCCAAAUUUUUGCGUUUUUAUAGAGAUGGGGUUUUGCCAUGUUGACAAGGCUGGGCUUGAACUCCUGGCCUGAAAUGAUCCACCUGCCUCGGCUUCCCAGAGUGCUGUGAUUACAGGCAUGAGCCACUGCACUUGGCCUGCAUGAGUGAAGAACUGAAGAAGUGAGGACAGGAGGAAGGAUGGGGACAGGAUCGAGGUUUAGCAGGGUAUCAGAACCACCGUACUAGCCAGUUUUACUGCAAUAAUGCUCCAUGACGAGCCCUCCCAAAACACUGGCUUACAUCAACCAGUGUUUAUUCAUAUAUUUUCCCCACUCAUGAGUCUGUGAGUGGGGAGUCGCCACUUACAAGGCUAACUCUGCUGGGGCUCAGCUGUACUUGGCUCUGGGCUUAAGCUCAGGUAUGCUCCGUGUGUUUCUUCCCUUUCUUGGGCAAGUUGCUUUUUGGCGUGUGCCCUUCUCAUGGUGAAUGCCAGGAGUGGAAACAGAGUGCCGCUUCAGGCUUUACCUUGGAACUGGCAUGCUAUUGCUUCUCACAUCCCAUUGGCCCAAACCGGUCACAUGGCCAAGCCCAGUGCUGCUGGGUGGGGAAAUAUAUUCCACCCACUCUCCUGCCCCAAGGUCACAAGGUAAGUCACAAAGAGCUGAAGAACAAUCUACCGCAGCUUCCCUGAAACAAAACCCAGAACCUCUUCUGUUCCUCCAGAGAGAAUCUCCAGAAGAGUGGCUGCUGGUCCCUGAGUGUCACUUGUCCUGAUAGCCCUUUCCUCCUGGGGUUUAUGGCAGAAAGUGACAAUUGUCCCCAUUGCCCAUUGCCCCUUUCUUCUUUUUAGUAAUAGAACACCCCAGGUUUUAGUUUGGUAUGUGGUGCCUACUAGGGGGUCACAUUUCCCAGCUUCCUUUGCAGCUAGAUGUGAUCAUGUGACUAAGCUGUGGCCAAUGGGAUGAUGCACAAAUGCCACAGGCACCUCCUGAUGACAAUUGUAUGAGGAAGCUGCAUGUCUUCCUCUCC
rnacentral:lncRNA from 1 species